AACGAACGCUGGCGGCAUGCCUAACACAUGCAAGUCGAACGAGACCUUCGGGUCUAGUGGCGCACGGGUGCGUAGCGCGUGGGAACCUGCCCUUAGGUUCGGAAUAACUCGCCGAAUGGGGUGCUAAUACCGGAUAAUGUCUUCGGUCCAAAGAUUUAUCGCGUUUGGAUGGGCCGGCGUUGGAUUGGCUAGUUGGUAGGGUAAAAGCCUACGAAGGCGUCGAUCCAUAGCUGGGAUGAGAGGAGGAUCAGCCACACUGGGACUGGGACACGGCCCAGAAUAUUACGGGAGGCAGCAGUGGGGAAUAUAGGCCAAUCGGGGGAGGGCUGAUCCAGCAAUGCCGGGAGAGCGAUGAAGGCCGGGGGGUUGGAAAGCUAGUUUACACGGGACGAUAAUGACAGUACCGGGAGAAUAAGCUCCGGCUAACUCCGUG
rnacentral:rRNA from 1 species